rnacentral:lncRNA from 1 species
CCUUCCUCUUCUUAUAUUCAGGGUUUUCUUUUGUUUGUUUGUUUUCAGACGGAGUCUUGCUCUACCGCCCAGGCUGAAGUGCAGUGGCACAAUCUCUGCUCACUGCAACCUCCAUCUCCUGAAUUCAAGCGAUUCUCCUGUCUCAGCCUCCCAUGUAGCUGAGUUUACAGGAGCCCACUACUACAACUGGGUAAUUUUUCUAUUUUUAGUAGAGGUGGAGUUUCACUAUAUUUGCCAGGCUGGUCUCGAACUCCUGACCUGAAGUGAUCCACCUGCCCUGGCCUCCCAAAGAGCUGGGAUUACAGGUGUGAGCCACUGCGUCUGACCUCAGCUCCUUCUUGACAAUACUUCCUCUAUGUCUCCGACUAGUCUUUAAUAUCAAUUUAGAUCUGUCUCUCCUUCCACUUCAAUUUGUUCAUUUCUUUGUCCUACCAUUGCCAUACCCAUCUGCAAAUUCUCCACCGAAGAUGUAGCUAUCUGCUAGAGGUAAACAUCAUUCCAAAAUCAUGGCCAUUGGCACCACCAUUGAUGUCUGGCCUACCCCUGGCUGGGCACUCAGCACCACCUCAGUUCUUACAAAUGUCCCCAGCCAGCUCACUUCUCUAAUUAUGCAAAGUAACACUUCCCACCUCUUUAGAACCCUGAUCCCACUCCCACCUGGCUUGCUUUCAGCAAACAAACUCUUUUCCCCCAAUAAAGAACACAGUAGCUAUCAGAAGGAAAUUCUAUUUCCUGUCCCUGCACCAGAAAAAUAUAUCUAUUCUCCACUUCUCCCUUCCUACCUCAGAGGUACCUCUUUUUCUGUGCACUGUAGAUUCCCUCUCUUCC